UACGGAGGGUGCGGAGCGUUGUUCGGAAUCACUGGGCGUAAAGCGCGUGUAGGCGGCCUGCUAAGUCUGAUGUGAAAGCCCGAGGCUCACCCUCGGAAGUGCAUUGGAAACUGGCAGACUGGAGUCCCGGGAGAGGAGGGUGGAAUUCCUGGUGUAGCGGUGAAAUGCGUAGAUAUCAGGAGGAACACCGGUGGCGAAGGCGGCCCUCUGGACGGUGACUGACGCUGAGACGCGAAAGCGUGGGGAGCAAACAGG
rnacentral:rRNA from 1 species